AUUGAACGCUGGCGGCAGGCCUAACACAUGCAAGUCGAGCGGAUGAAGGGAGCUUGCUCCUGGAUGCAGCGGCGGACGGGUGAGUAAUGCCUAGGAAUCUGCCUGGUAGUGGGGGAUAACGUCCGGAAACGGGCGCUAAUACCGCAUACGACCUGAGGGAGAAAGUGGGGGAUCUUCGGACCUCACGCUAUCAGAUGAGCCUAGGUCGGAUUAGCUAGUUGGUGGGGUAAAGGCCUACCAAGGCGACGAUCCGUAACUGCUCUGAGAGGAUGAUCGGUCACACUGGAACUGAGACACGGUCCAGACUCCUACGGGAGGCAGCAGUGGGGAAUAUUGGACAAUGGGCGAAAGCCUGAUCCAGCAAUGCCGCGUGUGUGAAGAAGGUCUUCGGAUUGUAAAGCACUUUAAGUUGGGAGGAAGAGCAGUAAGUUAAUACCUUGAUGUUUUGACGUUACCAACAGAGUAAGCACCGGCUAACUUCGUG
rnacentral:rRNA from 1 species